GAAAGAUAUUGGCGAAAAUAUCAAAGGACAGGAUGCAGAAGAGCCGUAAGGAUUAGUAAUUUUUAUGCCAUAUUACAAUUAAUGUCGACCAUAUUAAACUACAAGCGAUAAAUGAUAUCAUACUAUAUUAAACAUGCAAAGAAAUCCGUGGCUUUGUUCAUGCAAACAAAGACAAAGUAUAUAGAUAAUUAAGGUUAUCCCCGAGCAAAGCGGAAAAGUCGAAUACGAGCCGAAUAUAAAAUUCAUUAAUUUUUUAGCGAUUUCCAGCCAGCCUUUCGCGCUUUCGCGCUCGAAUUCGACUUUUCCUCUUUGCUCGGGGACAACCUUAAUUGAAAUAACUGUAUGUCCAUGCAUGGAUAUAGUAAAACCCAACUGAGUAGUUACAUGAUCUGUAUUGUCAACUUUAAGCGAACGAGAUUAGUAAUACCAUCUUGCAAUAUAUUGAAAGUAAUAAUAAUAAUAAUAAAUAUAUAUUUUGCCCUUUUUUGAAAAUUACAAAAUAACAAUUAAUUCUUGAAUAAUAAAUAGAAUAAUAAAUAUGAAUAGUUAACACACUGUUUAAUAAAUAUUUGGCCUGGUAACUAAAUUAAUAAUUAAUGCAUGAUCAGUAUAUGUGGCCUGCAUGCACACUACAUAUAUAUAACCAAAAUACAAGUAUAUACGAGGAGUAUUUAUAUGUGAAUUACAUUUAUUUUCCAGAGUAGCGGCUGGUAAUGGUAAAUUCACAAAAGGAACAGUAUACAAACUAAAGAGUAAAGGAACCACUGGAAAACCGACAAUUACCUGAGAUAGUUAGAAUAGAAUGGCAAUCUUUCGAAUUGUAGAUGCCGAAUUUACAUAGAAAACCGCAUAUAUAGUAUAAACAAAUGUAAUCUUAAAUUAUCUUUGAGUAGUCAAUGAAUGAUGGAUAAAUUCUAAAUAAAAACGUUUGUAUGCA